rnacentral:rRNA from 1 species
UACGAAGGGUGCAAGCGUUAAUCGGAAUUACUGGGCGUAAAGCGUGCGUAGGCGGUUUGUUAAGUCUGUUGUGAAAUCCCCGGGCUCAACCUGGGAAUGGCAAUGGAUACUGGCAAGCUAGAGUGUGUCAGAGGAUGGUGGAAUUCCCGGUGUAGCGGUGAAAUGCGUAGAGAUCGGGAGGAACAUCAGUGGCGAAGGCGGCCCAUCUGGGACAACACUGACGCUGAGGCACGAAAGCGUGGGGAGCAACAGG